ensembl:rRNA 5S_rRNA 5S ribosomal RNA
GCUUAUGGCCACACCGCCUGGUUCACGUCCGAUCUCGUUUGAUCUCGGAAGCUAAAAUAGGUUGGGCCUGGUUAGUACUUGCAUGGGAGACUGCCUGGGAAUACCAGGUGCUUUAAGCC